AUCCUGGCUAAAACGGUGGAACCCUGUCUCUACUAAAAAUACAAAAAAUUAGCUGGGCAUGGUGGUGGGCGCCUGUAGUCCCAGCCACUCAGGAGGCUGAGGCAGGAGAAUGGUGUGAACCCGGGAGGCAGAGCUUGCAGUGAGCUAAGAUCGUGCCACUGCACUCCAGCCUGGGCGACAGGGCGACAGAGCAAGAAUCCGUCUCAAAAAAAAAAAAAAAAAAAAAAAAAAAACCUCUUAAAACAAGUACAGCAAGAACUUUGAGGGUCUUUGCUAAGACAGCAGCUGGCAGCUUCAAUUUGGAGUAGGGUAUCAAAGGCAACUGUGUAUAAGGAAUAGUUAUAUAACUGGUAUCCAAUUUCUGAGAUGAUUUUGACUUAAACAUUGUGUAUUUCCCAGCAUACUGUUGGUUUUUCUAAUUAUGUGGGAAAUUAUGUUGCUUUUACUUUUUUUUUUGCUCAUUGCCCAGCCUAGGGUGCAAUGCUGCAAUCUCAGCUCACUGCAACCUCCGCCUCCCAGGUUUAAGUGAUUCUUCUGCCUCAGCCUCCCAAGUAGCUGGGAUUACAGGCGCCCACCACCAUGCCUGGCUAAUUUUUUGUAUUUUUGGUAGAGACAGGGUUUCACGACGUUGGCCAGGCUGGUCUCAAACUCCUGAUCUCAAGUGAUCCACCUGCCUCUGUGUCCCAAAUUGCUGGGAUUACAGGCAUGAGCCACCGCACCGGCCAUGCUUUCAGUUUUCAAGAAAGAAGACACCAUUAUUGCCAAAGAUUUUGGUAAUUUGAGAGAUACAAUGUAUGUUUUCUCCAUGUGGAUACUAGAUAGUAAGGAUGUGUUGAAUUUGAAGUGUCUAUCCAGAAGUAUUUUGGGUACUUGUUUAAGGAUUGUAAAACAAUGUUUCCAUUUCUGGAUAUAAUAAAUGUAUUUGUUAAUAUAAUAAAUGAAUAGAUUAGACCCAUAAACUAUUUGCAGUGUUGAGUCAUUUCCCACAGUUAAAAUCAGGAUGAAAAUAUAUAGCUGAAUACCUGCUUUGUUUCUUGUAACUGAUUUCUUUAGUACAGAACCUGCUAAGGCCAUCAAACCUAUUGAUCGGAAGUCAGUCCAUCAGAUUUGCUCUGGGCCGGUGGUACUGAGUCUAAGCACUGCGGUGAAGAAGAUAGUAGGAAACAGUCUGGAUGCUGGUGCCACUAAUAUUGAUCUAAAGCUUAAGGACUAUGGAAUGGAUCUCAUUGAAGUUUCAGGCAAUGGAUGUGGGGUAGAAGAAGAAAACUUCGAAGGCUUAAUCUCUUUCAGCUCUGAAACAUCACACAUCUAAGAUUCGAGAGUUUGCCGACCUAACUCGGGUUGAAACUUUUGGCUUUCGGGGGAAAGCUCUGAGCUCACUUUGUGCACUGAGUGAUGUCACCAUUUCUACCUGCCACGUAUCGGCGAAGGUUGGGACUCGACUGGUGUUUGAUCACGAUGGGAAAAUCAUCCAGAAAACCCCCUACCCCCACCCCAGAGGGACCACAGUCAGCGUGAAGCAGUUAUUUUCUACGCUACCUGUGCGCCAUAAGGAAUUUCAAAGGAAUAUUAAGAAGAAACGUGCCUGCUUCCCCUUCGCCUUCUGCCGUGAUUGUCAGUUUCUUGAGGGCUCCCCAGCCAUGCUUCCUGUACAGCCUGCAAAACUGACUCCUAGAAGUACCCCACCCCACCCCUGCUCCUUGGAGGACAACGUGAUCACUGUAUUCAGCUCUGUCAAGAAUGGUCCAGGUUCUUCUAGAUGAUCU
rnacentral:lncRNA from 1 species